GUGAGUUGGAGCGCUUAUGAGCGUAGCGAAUAACUCUCAUGCGCUCCAACGACCUGCCCCGCUCGCAUAAGCGAGAGGGGCGAUACCGAUU
rnacentral:sRNA from 12 species